AUUGAACGCUGGCGGCAGGCUUAACACAUGCAAGUCGAACGAGUGGCGGACGGGUGAGUAAUGCUUGGAAAACUCGCUGAUCGCGGGGGCUAACUGCGGGAAACGGUUGCUAAUACCUCGUACCCUCGGAUUAGGCCAACUGGGAUUGGGUAGUUGGUGGGGUAAAGGCUAAACAAGGCGACGAUCUCUAGCUGGUCUGAGAGGGUGACCAGCAAAACUGGGACGGAGACACGGACCAGACUCCGACGGGAGGCAGCAGUGGGGAAUAUUGCGCAAUGGGCGCAAGCUGACGCAGCCAUGCCGCGUGAAUGAAGAGGGCUUUCGGGUUGUAAAGUUCUUUCGGUAGGGAGGCGUUACCUACAGAAGAAGCACCGGCUAACUCCGUGCCAGCAGCCGCGGUAAUAC
rnacentral:rRNA from 1 species